rnacentral:lncRNA from 1 species
GUUGAAGAAUAACCUUGGAUUCUGGAGAUUUGAGCUUGCUUCCGUGCUUCCUUUGGCAAAACAGAAGUGCAAUGGACUAAAGGAUGAAGGUCUAGGAGCUUUAGAUCCAAAGAUUCAACCAGAUGUAGUUGAAUUUUAGAUCUGAAAAAAUUGAGAAAAGUGAAAUAGCUCCUUUGGUGAGAGGUUAGGUUUUCAGUUCAGCAGCAUUUCAGAUUGAUUCAUGGAUCCCAUUUGAAU